rnacentral:rRNA from 1 species
CCAAAAAAAAGUGCAGGCACGGACGAAGUCCUCACCUACUACCCACCCGGAACAACCCGUACCCCCGGUUUAUAACUCCACCUCAACCGAUGGCAAAACCACGUUUACCUAAAGCAGAUGCCUACUUGUGGAUCCAAAGCGUGGUUGCGUUCGCUAGAGGAGGAGGAGGGAAAGGGUAAGCAGGAGGAACGAUCGGCGGCGGCGGAGGGGAGGAAGGUGGAGGAGGAGGAGGGGAGAGAGCGGUCACGGCGGACCGGCGACGACGGAAGAGGAACCACGAGUUCCCCUGCUCGUGCUCUCCAGCGGUGUGACGUGAUGGAGCAGGUACCACCCACGACUCCUGGAUGUCUAGAGAGAGAGGGACGAUGGAGAAAGGGGCUGGGGAGACGGAGGGGGUGGUACUCUCUAUCCCUCUCCCUACCUGUUUAUCCUCUGCCCCCGUUCUCCUCUUCUCCUUCCACUGCCCCGUCCUCCUCUUCUCCUUCCUCUCCCAGACACGCGCGCACCGGUAACCGACCGGCCCGAGUCGAGAACGUCUAAGAAAACACAUAUACGGAUGUUCCACAAACCACUUUUAGGUUCGUCGGGGAACUAAAGCAAAGAAUGUCUAUAAAGAUACCCAAAGAGGUAAUCAUACGAAGAGGAGUUGAUGGUAUAGUUAGACCGUCGGUAACCGUGUACACUGGAUCCAACUCCUUAAACAAGGUGUAGAGGAACAUGGUUCUCGCCUAGACGCGGGGUGGAGAGGUCACAACCGAGUGACCGGUGGUGCCUAGGAUCGACAGGAACCCUGCGGUAGUUGUCCACACCAUAUUACGACAAUGAACGACCACUACAACAAAGACACGACGGAUACCUCACUGUUAUUGCUGUAAGUUAAUACUACGCAAACUGGCAUUGUGUUUCUAAUUCCUUUAAUUACUGGUAACCAGCUAACUGCUGAACUUUUCUUCGUACCUCCGUUGUUUACCCGGUCUACGUUCGCCGUUUUCCGCUGAUCCUAAUCGGUAGCUACGACCAGAAGUACAGGUUUAGGACCAGAAACAACCACACAUGUACUCUACCUCCUUUAGUACAAGAAUUCUCUCGCUCUACACCUUCUUGUGCUGUUGACAAGCAGUGGAUUUUCCUGUCCCACUGUGGUUUCCUCAAUACUAUCGUAGUGAAUCCCGUUCCGGUUACCCGACGGAGUUUGGACGACGGGGUAACAGGUGGAUCCAAGCCUACGGUGCGACAUCUUUUUCACCAUCGGGACGUCCAGGACCACACCGAACGUCUUCUCGGCCGACGAGGUACGCUCUUUGGUUCUCUUUCACCCCUCUCUCCUUUUCAUCUCCCUUUCGUUCGACCUCUACCAGGAUCCUCCACUUUUUUCUCUACUCUUAGUCUUUCCUUUCUUCUACUACCACCCAAGGUGUCUUCCCAUCGAAGUGCAAAUUGCAACCUACUAUUUUUAGAUUAGCCAUCGGAGUAAAGGAACUGGUAUCCACCGACUCGACCCCGUCGUGGAUCCACGACGAUGAUAACAUGUACGGGAAUAUCCGUAACUCCUUAACCGUUUCUCUAAUGCGAAGUAUCCAUACUUCAAUCUUGUUACCGACCUUUGAUACUUUCUGGCAAAGAUUAAUGGAAACAACCUAGACAGAAUGGAUGUUACGCACACACUGGGGAGCUCUUCGGUGAAAAACAAAGGAGACGUCAUAUGAGGUACAAAUCAAGGUUACUACGGGAUUGGGAAAACAAGGACGAGACUUCUUAUUCUGUACAUAUCCGAAGUAUAAAAACAUUAUUAGAUACACGAUUUGUAGGGAAACACCAGUACACAAAAUAUACAUUAGUUCAUAGAUAGGCACUACUAUAUAUACGGGUCGAUUACAAACUUUUCUAGGUAGUAGACAUAGUGGUGACGACCUAUUGGUGAUAUUUAGAUGAUCGUC